rnacentral:rRNA from 1 species
AUGAACGCUGGCGGCGUGCCUAAUACAUGCAAGUAGAACGCUGAAGGAGGAGCUUGCUCUUCUGGAUGAGUUGCGAACGGGUGAGUAACGCGUAGGUAACCUGCCUGGUAGCGGGGGAUAACUAUUGGAAACGAUAGCUAAUACCGCAUGACAACAGUUAUUGCAUGAUAACUGUUUAAAAGGGGCAACUGCUCCACUACCAGAUGGACCUGCGUUGUAUUAGCUAGUUGGUGAGGUAACGGCUCACCAAGGCGACGAUACAUAGCCGACCUGAGAGGGUGAUCGGCCACACUGGGACUGAGACACGGCCCAGACUCCUACGGGAGGCAGCAGUAGGGAAUCUUCGGCAAUGGACGGAAGUCUGACCGAGCAACGCCGCGUGAGUGAAGAAGGUUUUCGGAUCGUAAAGCUCUGUUGUAAGAGAAGAACGAGUGUGAGAGUGGAAAGUUCACACUGUGACGGCAUCUUACCAGAAAGGGACGGCUAACUACGUG